rnacentral:rRNA from 1 species
AUUGAACGCUGGCGGCAUGCCUUACACAUGCAAGUCGAACGGCAGCACAGGUGCUUGCACCUGGUGGCGAGUGGCGAACGGGUGAGUAAUACAUCGGAACGUACCUUAUCGUGGGGGAUAACGCAGCGAAAGUUGCGCUAAUACCGCAUACGCCCUGAGGGGGAAAGCGGGGGACCGUAAGGCCUCGCGCGAUUAGAGCGGCCGAUGUCUGAUUAGCUUGUUGGUGAGGUAAAAGCUCACCAAGGCGAUGAUCAGUAGCUGGUCUGAGAGGACGAUCAGCCACGCUGGGACUGGGACACGGCGCAGACUCCUACGGGAGGCAGCAGUGGGGAAUUUUGGAAAAUGGGGGCAACCCUGAUCGAGCAAUGCCGCGUGAGUGAAGAAGGCCUUCGGGUUGUAAAGCUCUUUUGUCAGGGAAGAAACAGCAGCUCUAACACAGUCUGCGAAUGACGGUACCUGAAGAAUAAGCACCGGCUAACUACGUGCCAGCCGCCGUAACAC